ensembl:lncRNA
AUGUUUUCUGAAGCUUUGUCUUCUAUUUUAUUGUUUAUAGGGCUGCUUGGUCAAGGUGCACUUGGAGCUAAUGGAGGCCGCGAUGGAUUUGGUCAACAAAUACCAGGCGUGUUCUCCUUUGGUGAUAUAAGAUAUCCUCUUAUAUCACAAAGGUCUGGAGGUAGUAUAUUUUUAUCCAUUUUUGUUAACAUUUUAGAUCAACUUAUAUAUAAAUUAUACUUGUCAGCCAAUUAAAUUAGCUUCUCAUUAUUUAAAAUCAAUUUAUUUGCUGUAUGAGUUUAGAGUUUUAGAGUAUUUAUGGAAAUGUACUUAAUUUAAGAUAUAAGCACGGCAAAAUCUCAGGCUAAAGCUGACAAGUAUGGUAAGUCAUGCAGAAAAUAAUUUAAGACUUUCUUAGGAACAUUGAUAUUGCUGACUCUCCUUGCAGGGGCUGGUGGUGUUCCUGGUCUCAGUGGUGGGGUUGGUUUAGGAGGUAUACCAGGUGCAUUUGGUGUUCCAAGUAUGAGUGGCAUACCUGGUGCAGGUGGUGUGCCAGGCAUAAAUGGCAUACCUGGAGCAGGAGGUGUGCCAGGAAUAGGAGCUGUUCCAGGUACAGCUGUAAUACCAGGUGUUGGAGUAAUUCCUGGAGCUGGCGGUGCAACUCCUGGUGUCCUUUAUCCAGGAGCUGGUGGUACCUAUCCUGGGGGUAAAUUUAUUACAAACUGAGAAAUAUUUAGGGAUUAUCUAAAAACACUGAAAUUUACUCGUCUUAUAAUAUCCAUGGAUUGUCUCUCAUUAGGAACUGGGGCAAAAGCUCAAAAGUAUGGUAAGAAAACUUACAGAUUCAUGUCAUAUACAAUCACCUGGCUGACAACUGUCUCUUUCAUGGAAAAAUUAUAGGUGUAAAGAAAUGACAGUAGAUAUCAGGGGGAAUCCAAAUCUUUAAUAUUAAGCCUUGUAAAAAAUCAGUUAAAGCAGAAAAAGACAAAUUAAACAUGAAAAAAGCUUAUUUUUCUGGAUUGACGUUUAUCAUGCAGCAUAUAUAAAAACAGAGGUUCAUCUUUAUUUCUCUGUAAUAAUUUUUUUUUUCUAGUUUCAGGGAUAGGAACUGGUGGACUUCCUGGUUCUGGAGUGGGUGGUCUUGGAACUGGUGGACUUCCUGGUUCUGGUUUGGGAGUGGGUGGUCUUGGAACUGCAGGACUUCCUGGUUCUGGUUUGGGAACUGGUGGCCUUGGCACUGGUGGAAUCCCUGGAC